GGCUUGGGGCAGCUGCUCUGGGCUUGAGGCUGAGUCUCUGCAAUUGCAGGCCACACCCAGGCUGCUGCCUCACAAACCACCUGUUUCUUAGGAACUCAAAGUGCCGGUCGAGGUCCUUAUUUACCUGAGUUCUGGGAGAGGCUCAGACCUUGCUGAGUACGCUGAGAAUGGUGGACACAAAUGCACCCAGAGUGAGGCGGAUCUUCGUGUCACCAAAUUCCAGACUCCAAACCCCAGGGUCAGUGUGACUCUGGUACACAAUCCAGAUGGACUCCGUCAGGGGAAGUUUUAUUGCGUAAAGACGGAGGCAAAGGACCAAGCCGUGAUGUCAUCUUGGAGAGGCGCCUUCCAGGCAGAGGAGACGGCGCAGUGCAUGAUACUGCUGGCUUGUCCACAGGAACAGGAGGAAGCAGCAGCCCAGCCCCUGCAUAGCGCUGGGAAACGCGUUCGUUAUUGCCUGUAGCCCAAUGGGUUCUGAUCAAGACAGCAGAUUCCAAGAAUCAGGAAACCGAAGCUGUCCCCAGUUGGAGCAGAGGAGGUGCCUAUAAAUGGAGCAACACGGUGA